AUUCUGGUUGAUCCUACCAGUGAUAUACGCUCGUCUCAAAGGUUAAGCCAUGCAUGUCUAAGUACAAGCUUCCUAGAAAGUGAAACCGCAUAAGGCUCAGUAUAACAGCUAUAAUUUACAAGAUCCUCAUCCAAACAGUUACUUGGAUAACUGUGGAAAAGCCAGAGCUAAUACAUGCAUUAUGCCGGGACUGUUGGCCUCCGGGUCGGCGGAACUGGGUGCACUUAUUAGUUAAACCAAUCGCCUCCGGGCGCUUUGAGUUGAAAUCUGGAUAAGGAUGCCGAUCGUACGGUCGCUUGCGACUGACGACAGAUCUUUCAAAUGUCUGCCCUAUCAACUAUUGAUGGUAGUGUAGAGGACUACCAUGGUUGCGACGGGUAACGGGGAAUCAGGGUUCGAUUCCGGAGAGGGAGCCUGAGAAAUGGCUACCACAUCCAAGGAAGGCAGCAGGCGCGUAAAUUACCCAAUCCCGGCACGGGGAGGUAGUGACGAGAAAUAACAAUAUGGACCUCUCUAACGAUGGUCCAUAAUUGGAAUGAGUUGAGCAUAAAUCCUUUUGCAAGGAUCAAGUGGAGGGCAAGUCUGGUGCCAGCAGCCGCGGUAAUUCCAGCUCCACUAGCGUAUAUUAAAGUUGUUGCGGUUAAAACGUUCGAAGUUGAUACCCCGUCCAGACUCGCGUCCGUCGCGGGCGCCCGGCCUCUCGGUUGGG
rfam:Anopheles gambiae str. PEST whole genome shotgun sequencing project, whole genome shotgun sequence.